rnacentral:rRNA from 1 species
AUUGAACGCUGGCGGCAGGCCUAACACAUGCAAGUCGAGCGGAUGAGGGGAGCUUGCUCCCUGAUUUAGCGGCGGACGGGUGAGUAAUGCCUAGGAAUCUGCCUGGUAGUGGGGGAUAACGUUCCGAAAGGAACGCUAAUACCGCAUACGUCCUACGGGAGAAAGCAGGGGACCUUCGGGCCUUGCGCUAUCAGAUGAGCCUAGGUCGGAUUAGCUAGUUGGUGAGGUAAUGGCUCACCAAGGCGACGAUCCGUAACUGGUCUGAGAGGAUGAUCAGUCACACUGGAACUGAGACACGGUCCAGACUCCUACGGGAGGCAGCAGUGGGGAAUAUUGGACAAUGGGCGAAAGCCUGAUCCAGCCAUGCCGCGUGUGUGAAGAAGGUCUUCGGAUUGUAAAGCACUUUAAGUUGGGAGGAAGGGCUGCUGGUUAAUACCCUGCAGUUUUGACGUUACCAACAGAAUAAGCACCGGCGAACUUCGU